AUCUAAAAUGUCUCUGCAGGUUUUGGCACACAAACGUAUAUUGUUUACACCACUUUAGAAUCACAGGUAGCUUAUCUUGACUAGAAAAAUUAUCAAAACCAUCAAUAUUUAAAGUAUUAAAACAACUGUCCCUAAUAUCAUCAUACAGUGGGCAAAAUAAAAGUACAUGUUCUUCGUUUUCAAUGGAGUCAGGACAGCAAAAGCAAGUUCGUUCUAGCAAUCUUAGAUUCUCGUAUCUCCCGGUCUCGACGCGGAUUGGCGCUACUCCACACCUAAACUUGGCGUAAGCACUUCUGUACGAUGUUGGCAUGUUCACUUUAAGGUAUGACUCAGUCUCAAAAGUGUUUUAAAACUGUCUGUAGAUUCGUAGCUUGUUUUGUC
rnacentral:lncRNA from 1 species